GACGAACGCUGGCGGCGUGCCUAACACAUGCAAGUCGAACGGGGUAGCAAUACCCAGUGGCAAACGGGUGCGUAACACGUGAGGAACUUGUCUAUCGGUGGGGGAUAGCCGGCCCAACGGCCGGGUAAUACCGCGUACGACCUUCGAGUGGCAUCCCUUGAUGGUGAAUGCAGCAAUGCGUCGAUAGAGGGCCUCGCGGCCUAUCAGCUAGUUGGUGAGGUCACGGCUCACCAAGGCAACGACGGGUAGCUGGUCCGAGAGGAUGACCAGCCACAUUGGGACUGAGACACGGCCCAGACUCCUACGGGAGGCAGCAGUGGGGAAUCUUGCGCAAUGGGCGAAAGCCUGACGCAGCGACGCCGCGUGUGGGAUGAAGGCCUUCGGGUUGUAAACCACUGUCGGGAGGGACGAAAAAAAUGACGGUACCUCCAAAGGAAGCACCGGCUAACUCUGUGC
rnacentral:rRNA from 1 species